rnacentral:tRNA from 1 species
ACCUGGCUAGCUCAGUGGAGCGUGAGACUCUUGAUCUCAGGAUUGUGAGUUCAAGCCCCAUGAUGGGUG